rnacentral:lncRNA from 1 species
GCAGGCUGCUUGAAUUUUAUCUAAUGUACUUCAGAGAAUUAACAACUAAUACAACAACAAUUAUACCAAAUUCCACAUCUCAAAAUCUCCUCUCUCAAACUAGUCAUGAUUAACCGUGUAAUGCAAUCUAAAACAUUCGUUUCAAAUAAGUUUCUUCUUGUGGAAGAAUCGCUUCAAGUACCAUACCUGCAAAACCGAAGCUCCAAUGCACACGCCAAGAGACAUGAUGCUAAACCAAGCCACCCGUGCAUUCGUCUUUUCACUCACUUGCCUCAUCUCUGCCUCCCUGUGUGUGUACAUUCAACAAACAAUACUUUUUUAUAAUAUUACUUGAUGGAUAUUCGUUGAAUCUGAUAUUCCAUGCUUUUUAACUAAGAUAUCCUUCAACCAUAGACCGGAACAAACCAAUAAAUUCAUAACUAGAAUGGUCAUCAAACCGUUUUCAAAAAUAUAAAAGAAGUUUAUACAUAUAUAUAUAGAGAAGAGGGAGGGGGUUAUAAGAAAAUUUAAAGGAGAGUUGAAAAGUUCGAGAAAACUACUUUUAAAAAUAUUUAUUUUAUCAUUCUUUUUACAUGCUGAAAAAGAUGCAUGCAAUACAAUUGUUUGCAUGUUUUGCUCUCAAUUCUAACCAAAAUCACCGGUUACAAUAAAGUGUGGCAGGAAAAAGGGCAACAAGCUACAUAUAUAUACCUCGUAUCAGCUACAUAUAUGUAGCUUGUCGAUCUACAUAUAUUUUUUUAUUUACUUUUUUGUUUUUACAAUACUAACCUUAGAGAUAAAAGUAAUGAAAAAAAUAGAAAAAAAUUUAAUUGUUUGGUAGUAGUUUUCUCAGUUUUCAAGUCUUUUAUGGUUUUCUCAUGAACUACUUUAUAUAUAACUCUCUCUAUAUAUAAACAAUAAAUUUAAAAAUAUGGAACUACUUUAUCUUUCGGUAUGGAAUAUGGAUUUGCAAUGUUAACAAUAUUUAAAGCCUGAAGCAUUAAAUCAGUUAGUAAAUAAGAUUUUGGAAGGUAAAAAUAUGUAGAUAAUAAAAUUUGAAACCCGAUAUGAACACCCGCUCCGAUUCGCCAGUUUAACCGGUCCAACAGGCUCAAAUGGAAACAGUUCAAAUUAUGUAGCUGAUUCCCAGACCGACUGACCGGCUAGUCCGGUCUGGUUCUAAGAACAUUGAAACAAACAAAUGAUUCCUAUAAAAGAGCAAUAAUAAUUAUUCAAGCAAAAAAUAAAAUUUACCUAUUCUUCAAAUAGAUCAAAUUUUCAUGGAUAGCUUCCACAGCACCUUCAAGUUUUGUCAGUUCAAAUUCGACACCCUAAACAAAAGUAUCAUGUGUAAAUACGGAUUAAAUUUCAUUUAAUUAUAUAAAAAGAUUUGCUCUAAAUAAAUUGGUCGAAUGGGUUAAACUGUAUCCAAACGCUUACAAAGUACUAGUAAUCAAAUUAAAUACAUUAACUGCUUAUCAAAUUAAAAAAAAAAAUGGAACAUAAAAAGUGUAAGGCAGGUCAACCAUUGACCCGCACUAAAAAAUGAUCCAUUCGACCUGAACCCAUUUAGCUCCAUUACCCAACCCACCCAUUUUGUUACCUCCACAGUAUAUUAAAUUAAGUUAGAUUGCAUCAGAUAAAGAUAGUAACCUCGAUCUUCUCUUUCUUUGCAACAGCGUCCCAAUCUUUUGCAGCAAUACCAACUCUCCAAUCAAGACUAACGGAAAGACGAUUACCAGCACGAUUAUUCCCGUCUGCCCAAAAACAUGCCAAGUAGUUGCCAGAUUCCGUAGUUGUAAAUGCAAAUUGACCAUGAGUCACGUUCUCUUUAUGAUGUAGAUUGUUUCCGUAUGGCGAGAUCGACAGUUACCUUGACGGAAAUCGUGGCGCUAGGGUGAAGAUGCGAGUCCUCUCCAUUGUUAAUCAGUGCGUAAUCAGCGAGAACGACGACGUUGUUGUGAAUAUCUUCUGAUACACACUUUGUUCCUGAAUCAGGUAGGUCUAGCCAGAUAGCUUGUGUUAUGGUUGUGGUGAUGCACCACCAUGUGAUAGCGAUAAUAGCUCUGUAGCUCCACCUUGCCGCCAUUAAAGUGGUGGUGAGUUGCAGGUGAAGAAGAUGAAGAAGAAGAAGAAAGAGAUCUGAAGUUGUUGCAGUUUGUUGAAGAUUGAAGUUGUGUUUUGUAUAAAAGUAAAUGAAUAUAUUGGUUUGCUU